CCUUCUUCCCGAGCAAUCGACCACUACCCGUAUCCUAGAACACCAGAUUUCACAACCAUUCGAACCCUUACCUCCAUCUUCAACAUCUUGUCAUCACCUGGCCAUAGAGUUACCCAAAACAGCCCCAAUCAUCACCCAAAACCACACUACCAGCCAAGGUUUUCGCCAUAUUUCCACUGCCAUCGGCCACCGUUUCGAGUGCGGACCACCACCACUCUACUCCUCUCAACUAGGCGUAUCCAAUACAACCAUGGGUCACCUGCAAUUUUGUCCAAAUUCGAGUGAGCUUGUGAAAGUAGUCCGUGAGUUGUGGCAGAUUUGGUCCCAACAAAAUUGAUGAAAUUUUAUUGAUGCAAACAAUCAAUUCUGCUUUCCAAACAUCAAGUGGAAGGAACGUCCUACUGAAAUGGAGGUGCCUCGAAAGGAAGUAGUUGUUAAUCAGGUGCAACAAUUGGAUUAUAGAGCGCGUCAAGAGAGGGAACUGAAGUUCACGACUGCUGGCUGGAAGCGUGAUUGCCAUGGUAGGUGGUUUAAGGAUGAAAAUGUAAGCUUUAAUUUCUUUGGCUUCAUGUUUAAUUGGUAAUAGGUACAAAUUUUUGGUUUAACUUGCAGUGAUAAAUUUGAGGGCUGUUUAAUUAUCUUUUGUUGUCAUAGUAUAUUUGCUUCUACAUGAUAAAAUUUUAAUAGAAUAAAUCAUUUCAAUUUGGUAGAGGUCUGUAUGAUGGUUUCAUUUGCUUGCAAGUUGAGUUUUAAUCCGAUGCACAUAUGAGGGAUUCUUGAUUUUUCAUCCGUUAAGAUGCAAACAUAUUGGUAUUCUAUGCAUCUAAGAAAUGAGCAGCAAUUACAUUUCAUGCUGGUGUGUGCCAUCACAAUUUGUAUGUUAAGAGGAAACUAUUUUCAGCCUUUCUAACUGAAUAUUGACAAAUGACAAUGGGAUGAGUUUGGUCUUCUUGCAGUAUUCUGUCUCUCAAUGUCAUUUUGAGCUUCGUUUGGGCAUGCAUGAUAUGUGUAGAUAAAUUAAAAGAUGAUUUGAGGUUGGUUGACUAAGCUCGAAGUGUUUUGGUGCUUGUUGAACAAGUUUGAAUUUUUUUGAUGGGAAUGGAUUUCGGCUAUUUCUGUUUGAA